AGAGUUUGAUCCUGGCUCAGGAUGAACGCUGGCGGCGUGCCUAAUACAUGCAAGUCGAACGCACAGCGAAAGGUGCUUGCACCUUUCAAGUGAGUGGCGAACGGGUGAGUAACACGUGGAUAACCUACCUCAAGGUUGGGGAUAACAUUUGGAAACAGAUGCUAAUACCGAAUAAAACUUCGUAUCGCAUGAUACAAGGUUAAAAGGCGCUACGGCGUCACCUAGAGAUGGAUCCGCGGUGCAUUAGUUAGUUGGUGGGGUAAAGGCCUACCAAGACAAUGAUGCAUAGCCGAGUUGAGAGACUGAUCGGCCACAUUGGGACUGAGACACGGCCCAAACUCCUACGGGAGGCUGCGGUAGGGAAUCUUCCACAAUGGGCGAAAGCCUGAUGGAGCAACGCCGCGUGUGUGAUGAAGGCUUUCGGGUCGUAAAGCACUGUUGUAUGGGAAGAACAGCUAGAGUAGGGAAUGACUUUAGUUUGACGGUACCAUACCAGAAAGGGACGGCUAAAUACGUGCCAGCAGCCGCGGUAAUACGUAUGUCCCGAGCGUUAUCCGGAUUUAUUGGGCGUAAAGCGAGCGCAGACGGUUGAUUAAGUCUGAUGUGAAAGCCCGGAGCUCAACUCCGGAAAGGCAUUAGAAACUGGUCAACUUGAGUGCAGUAGAGGUAAGUGGAACUCCAUGUGUAGCGGUGGAAUGCGUAGAUAUAUGGAAGAACACCAGCGGCGAAGGCGGCUUACUGGACUGUAACUGACGUUGAGGCUCGAAAGUGUGGGUAGCAAACAGGAUUAGAUACCCUGGUAGUCCACACCGUAAACGAUGAACACUAGGUGUUAGGAGGUUUCCGCCUCUUAGUGCCGAAGCUAACGCAUUAAGUGUUCCGCCUGGGGAGUACGACCGCAAGGUUGAAACUCAAAGGAAUUGACGGGGACCCGCACAAGCGGUGGAGCAUGUGGUUUAAUUCGAAGCAACGCGAAGAACCUUACCAGGUCUUGACAUCCUUUGAAGCUUUUAGAGAUAGAAGUGUUCUCUUCGGAGACAAAGUGACAGGUGGUGCAUGGUCGUCGUCAGCUCGUGUCGUGAGAUGUUGGGUUAAGUCCCGCAACGAGCGCAACCCUUAUUGUUAGUUGCCAGCAUUCAGAUGGGCACUCUAGCGAGACUGCCGGUGACAAACCGGAGGAAGGCGGGGACGACGUCAGAUCAUCAUGCCCCUUAUGACCUGGGCUACACACGUGCUACAAUGGCGUAUACAACGAGUUGCCAACCUGUGAAGGUGAGCUAAUCUCUUAAAGUACGUCUCAGUUCGGACUGCAGUCUGCAACUCGACUGCACGAAGUCGGAAUCGCUAGUAAUCGCGGAUCAGCACGCCGCGGUGAAAACGUUCCCGGGUCUUGCACACACCGCCCGUCA
rnacentral:rRNA from 1 species